AUACUUACCAGGCAGGGGAGAUACAAUGAUCACAAAGAUGGUUUUCCCAGGGCAAGUUUGAUCCAUUUCACUGGGGAUCUACUGACCCCUGCAUUUUCCCUACAUGGGGAAAACUCAACUGUAUAACUGCAUAAUUUGAGUUGGUGGGGUAUUACAUCUGUGUUCCUCCCCC
rnacentral:snRNA from 1 species